UGGGGAAUAUUGCACAAUGGGGGAAACCCUGAUGCAGCAACGCCGCGUGAGUGAUGACGGCCUUCGGGUUGUAAAGCUCUGUCUUCAGGGACGAUAAUGACGGUACCUGAGGAGGAAGCCACGGCUAACUACGUGCCAGCAGCCGCGGUAAUACGUAGGUGGCAAGCGUUGUCCGGAUUUACUGGGCGUAAAGGGAGCGUAGGCGGACUUUUAAGUGAGAUGUGAAAUACCCGGGCUCAACCUGGGUGCUGCAUUUCAAACUGGAAGUCUAGAGUGCAGGAGAGGAGAGUGGAAUUCCUAGUGUAGCGGUGAAAUGCGUAGAGAUUAGGAAGAACACCAGUGGCGAAGGCGACUCUCUGGACUGUAACUGACGCUGAGGCUCGAAAGCGUGGGGAGCAAACA
rnacentral:rRNA from 1 species